AACUACCCGUAGUUGUGAUCAAAAGUACACCUGUAGCUCAAAGUUUCUGGAACACCUCAGUUACAGAAUUUGUCUCCGAGUCCCAAUUCUCAUGCUCAUUCACUCUCUUUCCAUUCUAGCUGUUUACUGGAGUGCUCUUACCACAUUUUAUCUCAUCUAAUUCCCUCUCCCAGUCUCUGUAGUUGUGCACUCACCAGUUUUUGGACCUUUUCAAGAUCCAGGUGGACAAAACCAUGAGAAAUCUGAUCCGAAUUCUGGGCUGACCCUGCUUUGAGCCAGAGACUGGACUAUAGAGCCAGCCUGAGAGAUCCCACAACUCUCUGAGGGCAUUGCCGGACCUCUGUUCUACAGCUCUAGUGCAUAUGUGAAGAGUGAUAAAGGUGAUCAGGCUUAUGGAGCAGUUUCUGUGUGAUAAAAGAAGUUUGACAAUCUUCAGCCUGGAGUGGAAUCAACUGACGGAGAAUUUGAUAGAGAUCUACAGGACUGGGAAUGACAUGAAAAGGGUGUUAAGUAAGUUAUGGAACUCCAUUUCAGAGGUCAUUAAGGGUGCUGGAAGUUGACACAGAUUCAAAAGUGAACCAAGGAAGGAGACUCUAUUCAAAGUUAUUGAAUAAAAACAUGCCAACUCUGGGUCAGAAAAUCUCUUAGCCAUAAAUGAGUGGAAGCUGGAAAGUAUAAAUAAGGUACUGUCCAGCCUGGGCACUUGGACUCGCCUCUUGUGCCAGAUGCUUGUUCAGCUACUUGUUCCAGCCUGUAAAAAAACCUGAACACAAAUUGGCAGAAUCUGUGCAGCAAGGCUCUGAAAAUCAUCUCCAAUGAUCCAGAAAGCUUCAUAGCAAGCAGAAGAAGUCCUGCUCCUUGUCACUGUGAUUAUGGAGACGCAGGAAGCAGGUAUCCAUGUAUGGCACAGCCUAACGAAGUGAGUAACGAUCCCAUGCUGACUGACAUAUCUGUCUGGAGAACAAGGAGUGUAGCAGAGCUGAUCCUGCAGCACCCCUGUUAUCUAGGGCACAGACCUUGGAUAUUCAGGGGAAAC